rnacentral:rRNA from 1 species
AUUGAACGCUGGCGGCAGGCCUAACACAUGCAAGUCGAGCGGAGCGGCGGACGGGUGAGUAAUGCCUAGGAAUCUGCCUGGUAGUGGGGGAUAACGUCCGGAAACGGGCGCUAAUACCGCAUACUAUCAGAUGAGACUAGGGCGGAUUAGCGAGUUGGUGGGGUAAAGGUCUACCAAGGCGACGAUCCGUAACUGGUCUGAGAGGAGGAUCAGUCACACUGGAACGGAGACACGGUCCAGACUCCUACGUGAGGCAGCAGGGGGGAAUAUUGGACAAUGGGCGAAAGCCGGAUCCAGCCAUGCUGCGUGUGUGAAGAAGGUCUUCGGAUUGUAAAGCUCUUUAAGUUGUGAGGCGUUACCAACAGAAUAAGCACCGGCUAACUUCGUGCCAGCCGCCGCGGUAAUAC